rnacentral:rRNA from 1 species
GACAGAGGGGGCAAGCGUUGCUCGGAAUCACUGGGCGUAAAGGGCGCGUAGGCGGGAUGGCAAGUCAGUCGUGAAAUCUCUCGGCUCAACCGAGAAACGUCGGCUGAUACUGCCGUUCUUGAGGGAUGCAGAGGAGACUGGAAUUCCCGGUGUAGCGGUGAAAUGUGUAGAGAUCGGGAGGAACACCGGUGGCGAAGGCGGCAUCCUGGACCGGUAUUGACGCUGAGGCGCGAAAGCUAGGGUAGCAAACGGG